GUGAAUGACGGUGAAUGA
rnacentral:piRNA from 1 species